rnacentral:rRNA from 1 species
AUGUUGGAGUACAGACAGGAUCAGCAGAACCUUCGCAUGUCACCUAGAUCCGGCAAUGCCCAUAUUUUUCAAUGGGCAAAGAACCUAGGAGAUAUCCCGGAUCAUCGACUCCGAGCUGAAUUCUAUCACAUCCAGCAUGAACUUGCCCAAAUCAUCAUGAAGGAGGUCCUCAAAAAAGCAGGGAUGUUCUAUGAAGAAGUGCAAAUGUCGCGGGAAGAUGUUCGAACACGCGUAGCCACUCAGCGUCUCGACCUGAAGCCUUUCACUACGCUCAAGGACUAUCUCCCUGACUUGGAUAGAUGGCACGACAUGUUGGAGUGA